GACGAACGCUGGCGGCGUGCCUAAUACAUGCAAGUAGAACGCUGAAGGAGGAGCUUGCUUCUCUGGAUGAGUUGCGAACGGGUGAGUAACGCGUAGGUAACCUGCCUGGUAGCGGGGGAUAACUAUUGGAAACGAUAGCUAAUACCGCAUAAGAGUAGAUGUUGCAUGACAUUUGCUUAAAAGGUGCAAUUGCAUCACUACCAGAUGGACCUGCGUUGUAUUAGCUAGUUGGUGGGGUAACGGCUUACCAAGGCGACGAUACAUAGCCGACCUGAGAGGGUGAUCGGCCACACUGGGACUGAGACACGGCCCAGACUCCUACGGGAGGCAGCAGUAGGGAAUCUUCGGCAAUGGACGGAAGUCUGACCGAGCAACGACGCGUGAGUGAAGAAGGUUUUCGGGUCGUAAAGCUCUGUUGUAAGAGAAGGACGAGUGUGAGAGUGGAAAGUUCACACUGUGACGGUAUCUUACCAGAAAGGGACGGCUAACUACGUG
rnacentral:rRNA from 1 species